AUGAUGAUGAAGUUGGUAGAAAUCUCCGUUGAUCUUAGAUUCGCAGAUAGAAUCGAGCAUAACGUUCUACUAUAGGAUGAUAACAAUGAAUAUUUGUUUAUUGAAAUUGGUUUGUUUGAGUAUAUACAAAGCUGAAUUGGCACACGUGUGUGUUACUUUCUUGAUUGGUUUCUUUAUAUGUUCCAUCCCUGAUUCUAAGCACAUUGAUUUAUUAAUUUCUUUGUCUUCAAUGCUUUCUUGGUCUCCCUAACUAAAUCCUAGGUUGCACGUUGAUGUUUUCUGGUUCUUCUUCUUCUUCUGAUUAUCACAAUCAAAAUUGUUGCAUUGAUGUUUGCUAGAACCGGAAAUAGCAUGAAACUAGAAAAAAUCUCUGGUUUAGGGAAUGAUUUUUUCUUCCAUUGUUCUUUUUGUUAUCCUUGUGUUCUUCUCCACUCUCCAGUUGGUAUGUUCAGAUAUUUGAUCGUAUUUAUUAUUUUCGCUCUUGCACCCCAAAUAUCAAUGGAGCUUUCAGCAAGUACAAAUGCCGAUGGUUUUCCCGCUGUGCCCUAUUCUUACGAAAUCUCCUGUGGUUUUGAUGAUAUAGAAUCGGGCUUUAACCCGCCUUUCCCCGUGCCUGAUUAUUUACUUCAACACUUGGUAACUUACUGUUUUGGCAGAUCGUUCCCUUUAGAAAUAGGCGGGCUUUGGUCGCUUCUUUGGUACUUAAAACUGACAUGGCCAUGUAAACAUCUGAAAGGUGCAUAUGUUAUUCUAAGGACUACCAUGUCUAAGUUUCAGAUGCUCGGAGAAGAGAUGGAGUUGUCACAAUCCCACCUGUACUGCCCCUUGUCAUGGCAGCAAAAGUAAACAAGUUGUGAUCAUGUCUGACCAAGGAGGAUCAUCUCAAGGAAAAGGAUCCCAAGGAGAAGGAUCACAAGUGGAUCCGGAAAGGAAGUAUGGAACCAUUGUUGAUAUCAACCAUUGGAAGUGUAUCUUUUGCUACAAGGUGACUGGUGGUGGACUUUCACGUCUGAAACAACAUCUUGUUGGAGGAUAUAAGAACACAAAAAGUGUGCAUUAUGUCCAAAACAUGUUCGAGUUGAGUUGCACAACAACAUGAUCAGAAGUACAGGUGGGAUUAAGAUGAUAGAAAGUCAUGACUUACUAAUAACGUAAAAAUGAGUGCACAUCCGAUGAUACAUUUCUGUACAGUUCUGACUUCUGGUGUUUGCAAUUUGUGGUUCUCCUUACUUAUGUGAGAUUUCAGUAUGUCAAUACAUGUGUGUUGCCAAAGGUUCGUACUUUUAGAACCGGGCACCAUGAGAAUUUCACAUUAGUAAUUGUUUUUCCUGUACAUUUUUCCUUUUUCAGCCACCAACUGAGAAACUACAUUAAUCAUGGCAAGAACUUCGAGUUUUGCAAGCAAACAUGGCGGGCAAUCUGAGAUUGUGUUGAGAGCCAAACAAGGAGUCAACCCAACGUUUGGAACUGUAUAAGAUGAAGAUACUAAAAAGAAGAGUCAGCAAGGGGCUGUAAACCAAACGAGUCUGCUGAAGAUGAUGAUUCCAAUGGACCUGAAGGGUCAAGAGAAGCUGCAAAGAUUGCAGCAGUGAGAGAGAUGUAGCCGCUAAGCAGUUUCUUCCGUCAAACGAUCACACACAUUGUAUAGAAAGAAACCCUGAGGAAGCAGAUCAAUACAGUAGAUAAUGCAGCAGAAAAACUUUUGUCUUCUGAAAAAUUGCAAUCUUCCACAAUGCUGGCACAACCCAAGCUUGAACUGCAACUUGUGAAGCCGCCUAUUGAGAUGAAAAGAGCGAUUGAUAAGAUAGUUGACUUCAUCCAGAAGAACGGAAUGUUUCCAUUCUUAGGUCGUAAGGAGAUCUAUUAAGCACAGCAAAAAUGUGGAUUAUUCCAAGGAAAAACGUAGCCAUCAUCACAGAUCCAGGAAGCAUGAUAAGCAUAUAUUGAUUCAUCAGAUGAUGACCAUCACCACCGACCCAGAUUCAGUAUACGCAAGCACGAGGACUCGUCAGACGAUGAGCAUGGUCAUAGACACAGUUCUAGUAAACGUACAAAGAAAAGAUGAGAAAACAGUGGAAAACGAGAGUGUUUCAAAGUCUGAUCCUGAAGAUAGCAUGCAAAACUAACCAACUCAAAGUUUCAGAUGAGCUAAGAGCCAAAAUCCGUGCCAUGUUAGCUGAUACCUUGCAAGUUCUUUUGUGAAUUGGUCGGUGAGCAUCUAUCUAUCUAUCUAUCUAGAAGGCAUUAAAGGUCAUGAAAAGCGAUGCCUUUGUGUAAAGGGCCGUCUCUUGAGAUGCUUGGAAGUAGGGAUGAAGUUAAGAGUGUAGUCUCUCACUUUUGUUGACGUAAGAAAGGAACUCUUACAAAGAGAACGUUUUUUAAUGUAUAAUUGUUGUCAGUGUCUUUAGUUGUAUUACUUGAAGCUUACCCUUGUUGGACGGACCUUACUUUACUUA